rnacentral:rRNA from 1 species
CCUACGGGAGGCAGCAGUGGGGAAUAUUGCGCAAUGGGCGCAAGCCUGACGCAGCGACGCCGCGUGAGGGAUGAAGGUCUUCGGAUCGUAAACCUCUGUUAGCAGGGAAGAACGGUCACUGUGCUAAUCAGCAGUGAAUUGACGGUACCUGCAAAGGAAGCACCGGCUAACUCCGUGCCAUCAGCCGCGGUAAUACGGAGGGUGCGAGCGUUAAUGGGAAUUACUGGGCGUAAAGCGCUCGUAGGCGGUAUGUCAAGUCAAUGGUGAAAUCCCCGCGCUCAACGUGGGAAAGCCAUACAUGACUGCAAGACUAGAGUACGUCAGAGGAGGGUGGAAUUCCAAGUGUAGCAGUGAAAUGCGUAGAUAUUUGGAAGAACACCAGUGGCGAAGGCGACCCCCUGGGACGCAACUGACGCUCAUACACGAAAGCGUGGGGAGCAAACAGGAUUAGAUACCCGUGUAGUC